rnacentral:lncRNA from 1 species
AUUUGAAAAAUAGGUAGUCUUUCCCAGAUCUCUCUGCUGUACUGCCUCAUGUAGCUGGUUUUCCAGAAGUAUUUGUUGGAUGGAUAGAAGAAGAAAAGAGAAGAAAGGAAGAAAGGAUGGAGGGCUUAGCUGAGGGACACUUCCCAAAAUCAAUCAAAAACCUGAAGCAAAGGACGUAUUACAAAGAUUUUGGAGAAUGCAUGGAAUAAAGGAAGGACUGAACAAUUAAGCUAUGGGAAGAACUGAAACACAGAAGUUCCAAGACCUCCAGAAGCUGGGGAAUGGAAACAUGCUUUCUAUAGCAUUGCCUAGCGUCGUGCAACUCUGACACUCUCUGUUUCUAUGUAUCUCAAUUCAGGUUUUCCAAUUAUUAGAAGAAUUAAUCUAACUGAACAAACUUGGGUCAGAUAUCUGUAUUUUGAGAGCAUAUAGCUAUGUCCAGGGGACAGAGUAGAAUACAUAGGCUUAUCCUUGGGGUAACUACAUGGAGCUGAGCAACCAUCGCAGUUUGUGUCUCCUACAUUCCACCUGUUGAUUGUGGUGGUUGUGUACACACACACGAACGUACACACAGACCCACACACACACUCUCUCUCUCUCUUCUUUCUCUCUCACUUCUCUAUACUCAAUAUAUAUAUUUUUCUCCAUCUAUCCACAAAUGCCUCAAUUCAACUAAAAGUAAUUAAUCCAUACAUAAUAACUAACACUCUUGUCUUCUUCUAAAAUGGGAAAUGACCUAAAUUCAUGCCCAGCUAUUAAACAAGGUACGAUGUCAUGAUACCACAUUUUUUUUUGAAAUCAGGCUCCCUGGGUGAUAUCCAUUUGUAUUAUAUAUGUGUAAUAAUUUCAUCUGGGCAUUCUGCAACUACACAGCCUGUGAAGGGGAGAAAGGUUAGGGAAUCAAUACUAAUAUAAAUAUUGACCUAGUAUAGGUUUAGUAUGCAAAGAAAUGCAAGUGCAGAUUUUUUUAUUUGCUGCUGAAACUGGUCAUGAGGUUUAUUGUAGUCCAUUCAGGUUGCUACAACAAAAUGCCAUAAACUCGAUAGCUUAUAAACAGUAGAAAUUUAUUUCUCAUGGUUCUGGAGACUGGGAAGUACAAGCUCAUGGUGCCAUCAGAUUCGGUGUCUGGACAGGAUCUGCUUUCUGGUUCAUAGAUAGUACCUUCUCACUGUCCUCAUGUGGUGGAAGGAACAAGUUAACUCUCUGGGGUCUUUUUUUUUGUGAGAGCAUUAAUCCCGCUCUUGAGGGCCCUGACUGCAUGACCUAAGCACCCCCCAAAGGCCCCACCUGCUAAGACCAUCAUAUUGGUGAUUCGGUUUCAGCAUAUGAAUUUGGAGGCACACAAACAUUCAGACUACAGCAAGGCUCUAGCUAGUAUUUAUGACUUCCAUGUUAUUCUUACCAUUAGCCAGCAACUCAGUUACUCAGAAUUAUUUGCCCAGUGAAGUUACCCAAUAAUGUAUCCCUAACUGGUCUAGGCCCUUAGUGUUUCAACUUAUAUAAUGUUGCUGUACCUUCUGUUAAUCUUUGCCAUUGAGCAUGGUAGUGUAAGGUGGUUUUUUUCUCUCCAAAGAAUUGCUGUUAAUAUAACUCAACUCUACUACCCUGUGACCUCUGUGUAUUCCCUUGCAAGUUGUAAUUGCCUAUAAAACAGAAUAUUUUGAAGUCAGAUAUCUACCCCUUGGAUAAAUUGGCCAGAGGCCUAAGAUGAAAAGGACAUUCACCCCAGGAAUGGUUAUAUACUGGUUGACCACCCCAGAUUUUUCUAGGUAAAUAUCCUUUCUUUAAUAGUGGUUAUUUACAAGAUUUGUGUAUGAAGAAUGUGAAUUUUUUAAUAUAAUAAAAUUUUGUCAGCAUCCAGUUUAUUCUUACAUAAGUUUCUAGAAUACUGACAGAAUAUUCUGAUCAUUGGUUAUGUACCAACUAUUUUAAUUUAAUCUUUUCUUCUCAAAUUUUAUCUUAACCAUAUAUUCUACCCAGUUUAUUAGAUUGCCCCAUGGUUAAAUUUAGUAGGUAGUAAAUCAUCCUAAGCAUACAGAGUGGUUCUUUUUGUGAUCAACCCUGAAACAUAAUUGAAAGAGCAAGGGUAUGGGAAUUAGAUUAAUCUGGACUUUAUUUCUGGUACUUACUUGCUAUCUGACCUUGGGCAACUUAUUAAUUGCUCUGAGUCUCAUUUUCUUCAUCUAUAAAAUGAUCAUAAUAAUAACUAAUUCAUGUGCAGUUUGGAAAUGUGUAAUUAAAUGAUUUAUAUAAAGUUCCUGAUACAGUUUCUGAAAAAUAAUAGACACCCAGCAAGUGAUAACCAUAAUAAUCAGAGUUUAUUCUUCAUAUUAACUGGGAUAAAAUUUAUCAGGAAAUACAACAUGGCAAAGCACCCAGAAAUUCACAAGCAUGUAUUUCGCUUGCCCUUUUAUACAGAGCUGAAAAUUUUAUCAUCAUUAUCUCAUCCAUUGCCUGCAGCACCAUCCUUCCCAAACUCCUCCUGAGACUUUCUACUAAGGUGGAGCACAUUGAACCAUAUGUGACUCUGCCUUUUCUGACUAUUUUUGCAAGAUUUUUCUCAUUAGAGUAUUAUUAACAGAAAGUGGGGCUGUUAUCGAGGUAACUAGGAACGGUGCAUUUUCAGUUCAGGCUCCGACGGAACUUCUGCUUGACCUGGUACAACUCCAACUGUGCUCUUGUCUUUCCUCACUCCUGUUGUUCCAAGAAUGUAAAUAUUCUUCCAUGUCUUUCUUCCAUGUUUUUCUCCACAAGGUCUCAUUGAACUACACAUUUUCCCUUAAAUUUUCUCAACUCAUUUUAUUUCUCCUAAAUAAACUUGAUACUUCUCCCUUUUCUAAUGCAAUAGAUCUUCUUACUAAUACUGCC